ACCGAACGGGGCUAAUACCGGAUAAUAUUUUGAACUGCAUGGUUCGAAAUUGAAAGGCGGCUUCGGCUGUCACUUAUGGAUGGACCCGCGUCGCAUUAGCUAGUUGGUGAGGUAACGGCUCACCAAGGCAACGAUGCGUAGCCGACCUGAGAGGGUGAUCGGCCACACUGGGACUGAGACACGGCCCAG
rnacentral:rRNA from 1 species